rnacentral:rRNA from 1 species
AACGCUAGCUACAGGCUUAACACAUGCAAGUCGAGGGGCAGCAUGAACUUAGCUUGCUAAGUUUGAUGGCGACCGGCGCACGGGUGAGUAACGCGUAUCCAACCUUCCGUACACUCAGGAAUAGCCUUUCGAAAGAAAGAUUAAUACCUGAUGGUAUGAUGAGAUUGCAUGAAAUCAUCAUUAAAGAUUCAUCGGUGUACGAUGGGGAUGCGUUCCAUUAGAUAGUAGGCGGGGUAACGGCCCACCUAGUCAACGAUGGAUAGGGGUUCUGAGAGGAAGGUCCCCCACAUUGGAACUGAGACACGGUCCAAACUCCUACGGGAGGCAGCAGUGAGGAAUAUUGGUCAAUGGGCGCGAGCCUGAACCAGCCAAGUAGCGUGAAGGAUGAAGGUCCUACGGAUUGUAAACUUCUUUUAUAAGGGAAUAAAGUCACCUACGUGUAGGUGUUUGUAUGUACCUUAUGAAUAAGCAUCGGCUAACUCCGUGCCAGCAGCCGCGGUAAUACGGAGGAUGCGAGCGUUAUCCGGAUUUAUUGGGUUUAAAGGGAGCGUAGACGGGUCGUUAAGUCAGCUGUGAAAGUUUGAGGCUCAACCUUAAAAUUGCAGUUGAUACUGGCGUCCUUGAGUACGGUUGAGGCAGGCGGAAUUCGUGGUGUAGCGGUGAAAUGCAUAGAUAUCACGAAGAACUCCGAUUG